rnacentral:rRNA from 1 species
GAUGAACGCUAGCUACAGGCUUAACACAUGCAAGUCGAGGGGAAACGACAUCGAAAGCUUGCUUUUGAUGGGCGUCGACCGGCGCACGGGUGAGUAACGCGUAUCCAACCUGCCCACCACUUGGGGAUAACCUUGCGAAAGUAAGACUAAUACCCAAUGAUAUCCCACGAAGGCAUCCGAAUGGGAUUAAAGAUUUAUCGGUGAUGGAUGGGGAUGCGUCUGAUUAGCUUGUUGGCGGGUAACGGCCCACCAAGGCAACGAUCAGUAGGGGUUCUGAGAGGAAGGUCCCCCACAUUGGAACUGAGACACGGUCCAAACUCCUACGGGAGGCAGCAGUGAGGAAUAUUGGUCAAUGGGCGAGAGCCUGAACCAGCCAAGUAGCGUGCAGGACGACGGCCCUAUGGGUUGUAAACUGCUUUAUAAGGGAAUAAAGUGAGUCUCGUGAGACUUUUUGCAUGUACCUUAUGAAUAAGGACGGCUAAUUCCGUG